rnacentral:rRNA from 1 species
ACGAUGAAGCUGGAGCUUGCUCCGGUGGAUUAGUGGCGAACGGGUGAGUAACACGUGAGCAAUCUGCCCUUGACUCUGGGAUAACUGCGGGAAACUGUAGCUAAUACCGGAUACUUUCCUUGGUGGGCAUCCACUGGGGAAGAAAGAAUUUCGGUCAAGGAUGAGCUCGCGGCCUAUCAGCUAGUUGGUGAGGUAAUGGCUCACCAAGGCGACGACGGGUAGCCGGCCUGAGAGGGUGACCGGCCACACUGGAACUGAGACACGGUCCAGACUCCUACGGGAGGCAGCAGUGGGGAAUAUUGCACAAUGGGCGAAAGCCUGAUGCAGCAACGCCGCGUGAGGGACGAAGGCCUUCGGGUUGUAAACCUCUUUUAGCAGGGAAGAAGCGAAAGUGACGGUACCUGCAGAAAAAGCACCGGCUAACUACGUGCCAGCAGCCGCGGUAAUACGUAGGGUGCAAGCGUUGUCCGGAAUUAUUGGGCGUAAAGAGCUCGUAGGCGGUUUGUCACGUCUGCUGUGAAAUUUCGAGGCUCAACCUCGAACUUGCAGUGGGUACGGGCAGGCUAGAGUGCGGUAGGGGAGAUGGGAAUUCCUGGUGUAGCGGUGGAAUGCGCAGAUAUCAGGAGGAACACCAAUGGCGAAGGCACAUCUCUGGGCCGUAACUGACGCUGAGGAGCGAAAGCGUGGGGAGCGAACAGGAUUAGAUACCCUGGUAGUCCACGCCGUAAACGGUGGGUGCUAGCUGUGGGCCACAUUCCACGUGGUCCGUGACGAAGUUAACACAUUAAGCAC